GAUGAACGCUGGCGGCGUGCCUAAUACAUGCAAGUCGAGCGAACAGAUGAGGAGCUUGCUCCUCUGACGUUAGCGGCGGACGGGUGAGUAACACGUGGAUAACCUACCUAUAAGACUGGGAUAACUUCGGGAAACCGGAGCUAAUACCGGAUAAUAUAUUGAACCGCAUGGUUCAAUAGUGAAAGACGGCUUUGCUGUCACUUAUAGAUGGAUCCGCGCCGCAUUAGCUAGUUGGUAAGGUAACGGCUUACCAAGGCAACGAUGCGUAGCCGACCUGAGAGGGUGAUCGGCCACACUGGAGCUGAGACACGGUCCAGACUCCUACGGGAGGCAGCAGUAGGGAAUCUUCCGCAAUGGGCGAAAGCCUGACGGAGCAACGCCGCGUGAGUGAUGAAGGUCUUCGGAUCGUAAAACUCUGUUAUUAGGGAAGAACAAAUGUGUAAGUAACUAUGCACGUCUUGACGGUACCUAAUCAGAAAGCCACGGCUAACUACGUG
rnacentral:rRNA from 1 species